UAAGCAGUGAGGGAAUAUUGGUCAAUGGGGUAACAGGCCGAACCAGCAACUUGGAGGAAUGUAUAGGGAAAGCUAGUAAAAUUUGAUGUACCUAAUAGUAUUAGUAAUUAAUACGAAAUUAACUAAGUUAAUUAAAAUUCAAGGUGAAUAUUGAUUAUGACAGUAUUUACUUAUGUCUUGACCAAGACACGUGCCAGCAGUCGCGGCAAUACGUGGAAGAUUAGUGUUAUUCAUGUUUAGUUGGUUUAAAGGGUACCUAGACGGUUAAUCAAACACAAAUAUGUAUUAAUUAACUAGAGUUUAAUAUAAGAAAGAUUGAGUACGGUGAGUGUAGAGAUAAAAUUCUGUCAUACCACUUAGGAACUGGUAAAGGCGAAGGCUACUUUUUAUGUAAAAACUGACGUUGAGGGACGAAGGCUUGUAUUAAAUAACAGGAUUAGAUACCCCAGUAUUGUGAGCAGACAAUGAUGAGUGUCAUAUGCAAUAAAUUUUUUUGUGUAUAAAUGAAAGUGUAAGCACUCCACCUCAAGAGUAACGUGGCAACAUGGGAACUGAAAUCAUUAGACCGUUUCUGAAACUCGUAGUGAAGUAUGUUGUUUAAUUUGUUAACCCCCAAAAAACCUUACCACAAUUUGAAUUACUGCGAAACAGCAUUUGCGUAUUGUAGUAACAAGCGUUGCACGGCUGUCUUCAGUCAAUGUUGUGAAACUGUGGUUAGAUCCACUAAAUUGACGUAAACCCUUACUUUAUUUAUUAUAAAGUGGUUCGCCGCUAUAUUGGUAGUGAUAUAAGGGACUAAGACAAGUCAUCAUGACCUAUUUAUUGUGGGCUAUAGACGUGCCACAUNA
rnacentral:rRNA from 1 species